UACGUAGGGAGCAAGCGUUGUCCGGAAUCAUUGGGCGUAAAGCGCGCGUAGGUGGCCCCGUAAGUCCGCUGUGAAAGUCAAAGGCUCAACCUUUGAAAGCCGGUGGAUACUGUGGGACUAGAGUACGGAAGAGGCGAGUGGAAUUCCUGGUGUAGCGGUGGAAUGCGCAGAUAUCAGGAGGAACACCAAUAGCGAAGGCAGCUCGCUGGGACGUUACUGACGCUCAGGCACGAAAGCAUGGGGAGCAAAAGGG
rnacentral:rRNA from 1 species